rnacentral:rRNA from 1 species
GACGUAGGGCGCGAGCGUUGUCCGGAUUUAUUGGGCGUAAAGAGCUCGUAGGCGGCUCGUUGCGUCGGCUGUGAAAACCCGCAGCUCAACUGUGGGCUUGCAGCUGAUACGGGCGGGCUGGGAUUCGGUAGGGGAGACUGGAAUUCCUGGUGUAGCGGUGAAAUGCGCAGAUAUCAGGAGGAACACCGGUGGCGAAGGCAGGUCUCUGGGCCGAUAUCGACGCUGAGGAGCGAAAGCGUGGGGAGCGAACAGG